AUUUAUAUUCCAAGUGAUUUAUUUUAUAAUGAUAUGGUAAAAAUGAGAUAGGAAGCAAUUUUUCAGUAAUAGUAUGCCAUGACACUUUUGUAUUUUUAUGUUUGAUUUUGUAUACAAGUAGUUUUUUAGUGAGGUGAAACAUGGGGGUAUGCAAGACAAAUCAGACUCCUGGAAGGGGGACUGUAGGCUGGAAAGGUUGAGCGCCACUGCUCUAGAGUUUCAGAGUAGCAGCCGUGUUAGUCUGUAUUCG